CCGCCCGUCACGCCAUGGGAAUCAGUUGCUCCAGAAGUGCCUGCGCUAACCUUCACGGGAUGCAGGGUACCAAGGAGUGGUUGGUGACUGGGGCG
rnacentral:rRNA from 1 species